rnacentral:sRNA from 1 species
UUGUUCAAAUCUUUGGCUUGUGUACAA